CCCUGGAGGGCGAGGCGCCGCUGUCACCAGCCCCAGGAGACGACGGCGGGGUGCGCUAAGUGCUGGGAAGGUAGCAGCACUGGUACUGUCAGGAGGCAGCGGGGCCACGUGCACAAUGGCUGAAAGAACGACCACCCAAAGUGAUGCAUUUCAGUAUUGAAGAUGCACAGAGACCUGUAUCAGUUGACCUCAGUCUGUGACCAGCGGAGUAAAGAGUCACUAACUCAGAAAGGUACCAAAAUCAGGAGCCUCAGAAUCUGCCAUCAGGAGUCUUGAAAUGGAGACAGAAAAACAGGGCAGGUCUCAUCUGUAGAGUGGCAGCAAGACAGUAAGAAGAUCCAGAAACUCAGGCUCCAGGAUUCUCCUAUGACUAGCAUGUGAAAUGCGUGUUACAUUUUGGGUACCACACCUAAUGAAGGGGGGCCUGGCUCAGUGCAUCUUCACAUUAUUCUUCUGCAUCUCCAAUCCAAUUAUUUGAGUUACAUUAGCUGUAAAACAUAGUAGUGCAAUACACAGUCAGAUCCUGGAUUUUUAGUCCAUUGUGAAGAUGUAACACUCACUGGUCAGCAUGAUCUCUAAUAGAUUCUAUUAGCAUAAGAUAAUUGCAUUUAUGCAAUGCAUCUAUGCCAACUCAAACACACCAAAAUCAAUAUUGACUAAUAAGCUCUCAAUAAUCUUUUAAAUAAACUCAGUGUCCUCUUUUCAAAACAAAACAACCCCCCCAGCUGAAACAAUAAGAGAUAAAAUAAAAUAUAGGUAGAGCUAUGAAAGCCAGUGAGUAUUGAGAUUUUUUUUACAUAAAGCCAGAUUCAGAGUGCUUGUGUAUAUCUCUAUAGCCCCAUUGACUUAGUGGAACUACCUUGAUUUAAACCAGUUAAGUUGCUGGCUCUAGCUAUUUUAUUCCCUUCUUUAUUGCCUUACCAUGCCAGGUUUACAGAACAGACAGGAGAAAUGAAGGCUUGCAACACUUGAAAAUGAGCUGAAAUUUUGCAGUGCUGGUUAAGUGUUUAACUGCUCGUCAAGGUUAACAAUGUGUUUAGUGUGCACACAUGAGGGAAAUCUUAAACAAGUGGAUUUACAGAAACAAGCCUUUGCUAGAUUGAGAGGAUAAAGGUCUAUAGCUACAAGUUGGAAGAUAAUUGCUUGAAAAUAUUGCUAUAAAAAUAAACCAUAAACCUCCAUGACCAGCUUCAGAUAAUAUCUUGGGAACAGGCUGCAUGCCAAGAAACAGCAGGGAACAUAAGAGCUAACGCUCACUCUUCUGCGUCCAGCAGCACUCCAGCAUGGACUGUCCACUCCCAGCCCAGCUGGAUGCCCAAGUCAGGCUCGCCUGGCCAGAAAAUUGCAUCGUACAAAUGGCAAUAACAGAGACGAGAAUCAGACACUACAGCAUCCGCACUCUACAGCAUCUUAGAGGAAGAACUGUGCUAAAUAGAGUUCCCACCCUCAGUACAGAAAACUCCCUUCAUCCUUUUUCAAAUUUUUUUCUUUUUUUCUUCUUCCCUUCAGUGUCAUAUAUAACUCUUCCGUGGCACGACAGCUGGCACACAGCGCCAGGUUACAGCUCCUGUAGUCCGCAAUAAUACGGGUCCAUAAACUUUUAUUGAAAAAAAUCUGCCUCGUUUGUCCAUUCCUACAGAGCUGUUUAAAGAUACUCUUGUCACUAAAAAGGUAUAAAUACGCUUGAGCUGGUAAAGGCAUAGUUUGUAUUGGCAUUUUGGGCAUCAAACAGGGAAUUACAACAUACUAAAGUCUGCAGUCUGGCCACAGCCUGUAGGAGUUUACCUCUGGAGUGUAUUGGCAGUAGGUUGUGUCCUUCAGCAUUGGAAAGAAUAGUGCCAGAGCUUCUGCUUUUUUUCUUACCAUCUUUUUGGCCUUUCAAAAUUGCUUGCCAUCCCUUUUCUCCUAGGAAGGUGUAAACAGCAAGUAAGCAGCAUGGUUUCUGUGCCUGUAGGUUUGAAAGUCUCUUCCUCUCCAGCUUUUUGCCUCGGACAUAAUCUGAGAUAUAUUUUAGCCUAUUAAAGAAAAAUUACUAUAAUUAGCAUUCAGCAUCAAUAUUUUAGAGGUGUUAUACAGUUCAAAAUAUAUAUUUACAUCAGAAACAAUGCAUUACCCUCACUGUAAUCUUUGUUUAAGGUCACUACGCAAGCAAAUAUUUUCAAGUAUUUUCAACACGUUGGUUUUUUUUCCAAAUAUAAUACAAAAAGACAUGCUAUAAUGUUGCCCUUAAUCAUGAGCUAAUUACAAUCCUGUUGUAAUAGACAACCUGGCUUCUAAGGUCCUUUCAGGAAAUGAUAUCCUGCAAACAAAAGCUAGAUAUGAACCUUUUUUGAAAGCUGAACUUUUAUGUUAAUAUAAUAUCAAGACUUGGGGAUUUACAGGAAAAAAUCAAAUUACUAUAAAUCUGUGAGACUCACUAGCCCUCACUAGUCCUUUGCUCUGACAAUAUAAAAUGCCUUUCCAGGGCAUCUGCAUUGUGUUCGUAUCCACUUUAACAUCCUUUGAUAUUUAUUGGUAAAGUGAGGCCCUUAGUUUAAAUAACAAUUUGCACUUCUAUCUUUUACGGUAGUGUAGUACCACAUUCCAGCCUUGAAGAAUGAACAUUGUUCAGGGGGCUCAUGUUAUAAGGUAGUGGAGAAUCACAAAUAUUGGUUAAGCCCUAAAUGCCACGAAAGACAGUGAUUUUUAAUGGGAAUCUGUGGUUUUAGGAAGGAAGAGGUUGGCUGAGGUCUUCCUGCAACUUGGCCAUUUGAUCCUGUUCAGAAAGAUAGAAAGACCACCUGCGAUGACAGGAGAUUUUAAGGCCUCUAAAGCCAUGUGCUGAGGAAAAUAUCAACCCUUGCUAAGUCUGCUGAUUUGAACCUACAGCAGCAACAUUAAAUACUUCAGGGAAUGAAGCUCACUGGCAAUCCUCUGAUACUCAGUCCUACGGCAGUUGGGAUGAAUGGGAUCAAUCCAGUUUGACAGUGAUUCAAAACUAAACAGUACAUUUUUGAGAUCUUCAGUGAAAUGAGUUGAUGGAAACAGUUCUUUCCCCAGUGAGUGGAGGAUUAAUGGCCCAGUGAAUGCUGGAGCCAGUAGCAUGUAUGCAACUGACUAACCCCCUUUACCGGAGCUCAGUAAGGAGCUCAGAGAAUGAGGGCUUGUGGAAAUGCAUCUAGGUUUUUGCUGUACACGUUCUGUUCAUAGGUAUUAUGUUGCCUUCUCCAGGGUAGGCCAACUGGCAUAAACAGUAAAAAAAUCACAUAGAUGUUUGAGGGUCAUACAUGGGACAAAGAAGCCACUGGGACUUGGACAUAUGAAGAGAACAGUCUGUUUUCACCCUUCCUGCAUUUCUUUCUUUGUAACAGUCUGAAAUAUUUCAUGGCAGCAUAAAGACAACAACAGAGAAAGGGAGUCCUAGCAAUGUUUGUUUUUAAAGUGUCUUUCCCACACAACGUCCUUUAAGACUGGCAAGUAAAAAGCUCUUGUCAACCUUCCACUCCAUUUAUUUCUCUGGCUCCACAACGUGCUCUCCCUCCUUGCAUCCUUCUGCAGCCUGCUGCUGGCUCUUUGUUGUCUGGAGACUCACUAGGAUUCUAACAUUCUACCUAAAUUGCUCCGUGGAAAAAUAUCAGAAUAUUUCAUUUCAUCAGCUUGAAGUUGUUUGCUUCUCUACAGUUGAAGCACUUCAAUUCAGCUGUAAUAUUUUGACUUUAGCAAAAUAACAAAAUACCCUAAACUGUAAGCACUGAAGUCAAUGCAAAAAGAUUGAAGCUUGCUGUGGGUGCCUUUUUGAUGUGUUUCAUGUCAUGAGCAAUUUUGACUUUUUAUUUCACUUCU